rnacentral:rRNA from 1 species
GAUGAACGCUAGCGGCAGGCUUAAUACAUGCAAGUCGAACGGUAACAUGAGUAGCAAUACUUGAUGACGAGUGGCGCACGGGUGCGUAACGCGUAUGCAACUUACCUUCAACUGGAAGAUAGCCCCUCGAAAGAGGGAUUAAUAUUCCAUAAUUUUAUGAUUUGGCAUCAAAUUAUAAUUAAAGAUCAGUCGGUUGAAGAUAGGCAUGCGUGACAUUAGCUAGUUGGUGAGGUAAUGGCUCACCAAGGCAACGAUGUCUAGGGGAUCUGAGAGGACUAACCCCCACACUGGUACUGAGACACGGACCAGACUCCUACGGGAGGCAGCAGUAAGGAAUAUUGGUCAAUGGAGGCAACUCUGAACCAGCCAUGCCGCGUGAAGGAUGAAGGCCCUAUGGGUUGUAAACUUCUUUUAUACGGGAAGAAACCUCCGCACGUGUGCGGAGCUGACGGUACUGUAAGAAUAAGGAUCGGCUAACUCCGUG